rfam:Salmo salar isolate Sally breed double haploid chromosome ssa10, whole genome shotgun sequence.
UGCAUUCACUACUGUAAGUCGCUCUGAAUAAGAGCGCCUGCUAAAUGACUGAAA